AUACGGAGGAUCCGAGCGUUAUCCGGAUUUAUUGGGUUUAAAGGGUGCGUAGGCUGUGCGUUAAGUCAGGGGUGAAAUGCCGUCGCUCAACGACGGAGCUGCCCUUGAUACUGGCGUGCUGGAGUACGGAUGCCGUUGGAGGAAUGAGUGGUGUAGCGGUGAAAUGCUUAGAUAUCACUCAGAACACCGAUUGCGAAGGCAUCUGACGAAUCCGUCACCGACGCUGAGGCACGAAAGCGUGGGGAUAGAACAGGAUUAGAUACCCUGGUAUUCCACGCCGUAAACGAUGAUGACUAACCGUCGGCGAUAGACAGCCGGUGGCCAAGCGAAAGCGAUAAGUCAUCCACCUGGGGAGUACGUCGGCAACGAUGAAACUCAAAUGAAUUGACGGGG
rnacentral:rRNA from 1 species